rnacentral:rRNA from 1 species
UUUGAUCCUGGCUCAGGAUGAACGCUAGCUACAGGCUUAACACAUGCAAGUCGAGGGGCAGCAUUGGAGUAGCAAUACUUCAGAUGGCGACCGGCGCACGGGUGAGUAACACGUAUCCAACCUGCCGCUUACUCGGGGAUAGCCUUUCGAAAGAAAGAUUAAUACCCGAUGGUAUAAAGAGUUCGCAUGUUCUCUUUAUUAAAGAAUUUCGGUAAGCGAUGGGGAUGCGUUCCAUUAGAUAGUUGGCGGGGUAACGGCCCACCAAGUCUACGAUGGAUAGGGGUUCUGAGAGGAAGGUCCCCCACAUUGGAACUGAGACACGGUCCAAAUCCUACGGGAGGCAGCAGUGAGGAAUAUUGGUCAAUGGGCGAGAGCCUGAACCAGCCAAGUAGCGUGAAGGAUGACUGCCCUAUGGGUUGUAAACUUCUUUUAUAAGGGAAUAAAGUGAGGGACGUGUCCCUUUUUGUAUGUACCUUAUGAAUAAGGAUCGGCUAACUCCGUGCCAGCAGCCGCGGUAAUACGGAGGAUCCAAGCGUUAUCCGGAUUUAUUGGGUUUAAAGGGAGCGUAGGUUGACAUAUAAGUCAGCUGUGAAAGUUUACGGCUCAACCGUGAAAUUGCAGUUGAUACUGUAUGUCUUGAGUGUACAAGAGGUGGGCGGAAUUCGUGGUGUAGCGGUGAAAUGCUUAGAUAUCACGAAGAACUCCAAUUGCGAAGGCAGCUCACUGGGGUACAACUGACACUGAGGCUCGAAAGUGUGGGUAUCAAACAGGAUUAGAUACCCUGGUAGUCCACACAGUAAACGAUGAAUACUCGCUGUUUGCGAUAUACAGUAAGCGGCCAAGCGAAAGCAUUAAGUAUUCCACCUGGGGAGUACGCCGGCAACGGUGAAACUCAAAGGAAUUGACGGGGGCCCGCACAAGCGGAGGAACAUGUGGUUUAAUUCGAUGAUACGCGAGGAACCUUACCCGGGCUUGAAUUGCAGAGGAACAUAGUUGAAAGAUUAUGGCCGCAAGGUCUCUGUGAAGGUGCUGCAUGGUUGUCGUCAGCUCGUGCCGUGAGGUGUCGGCUUAAGUGCCAUAACGAGCGCAACCCUUAUCAUUAGUUACUAACAGGUCAUGCUGAGGACUCUAGUGAGACUGCCGUCGUAAGAUGUGAGGAAGGUGGA